CCUUAUAGUUUUAAAAAUAUCAAUAAACAGCAAAUCAACACAGCUUCGAAAUAAUAACCGAAAAAGACCUAAAUAAUAAUAAUACAUAAUUAAUAUACAGCGCCGCCACUCCCACCACGCGCAUCACGAGCUGUGCGUCAACCCAUUCUCACUCCCAAAGCGUCAGAAACUGAAGCGUGGUCAAGCGCCUCUAGCGUCACUGACAUGAGAUGUUUAUCGCUAUGAAAUCACUUUCAAGAAGUCUCAUUCAGCACACAUCGCGAUACUUGCCAUCAGUUUACAAGAGCCGCAGGUUGGGUGAGUUAUACAGUCUAUGCUGAAAAGACGUAAAGGAAGCAGUCACCCCAGUCGUGUUUGUGGAGAGGUAUUCCUUCAGAAAUGGAGAAGACAGAAAGCUGCAAAGACAGGAUUGUUUGCAGAUAAUGCUGUUCUUCUUUUUCAGAAGUUUUUGGUGAGCCAACC